UACAGAGGAGCCAAGCGUUGUCCGGAUUGACUGGGCGUAAGCGCACGCAGGCGGGUGCGCGCGUGGGUGUGAAAUCUGGCCGCUUAACGGCCAGGCGCCAUCCCAUACGGCGCGCCUGGAGCCUUGCAGAGGUCGGUGGAAUUGCCGGUGUAGUGGUGAAAUGCGUAGAGAUCGGUAGGAACACCCAGGGGGAACCAGCCGACUGGGCAAGUGGCUGACGCUGAGGUGGC
rnacentral:rRNA from 1 species